UUUACUAGGUGCAAGAACAAAUCUCUGGAGGCUUCAGCUGUGAGGUUUAAGCAAGAAGUCGAAGAGAAUGAAGAAAACGACUGUAUAGACCUCAUCACUAUCUAACAAAAGCACAGACAAAGAGAAUGGAAUUCUUUCUUAGCUAAUUGUUGCAACCAUGCUCAUGCUCAAGUAUAUUGUGCGCCUAGAGCCGAAUCGCCUGUCCUUUUUCUGUAUGUUUUAGGUGAUUGAUGACCAAUAUAUAUCAGAUGGUCUUUCACUAUGAUUUCUUGUUGUAAAAUCAUGCCUUUGUUAUGCAGCUUUAUUAUUUUACAACAUUGUUUCUUG